rnacentral:rRNA from 1 species
GACGAACGCUGGCGGCGUGCUUAACACAUGCAAGUCGAACGGAAAGGCCCUGCUUUUGUGGGGUGCUCGAGUGGCGAACGGGUGAGUAACACGUGAGUAACCUGCCCUUGACUUUGGGAUAACUUCAGGAAACUGGGGCUAAUACCGGAUAGGAGCUCCUGCUGCAUGGUGGGGGUUGGAAAGUUUCGGCGGUUGGGGAUGGACUCGCGGCUUAUCAGCUUGUUGGUGGGGUAGUGGCUUACCAAGGCUUUGACGGGUAGCCGGCCUGAGGGGGUGACCGGCCACAUUGGGACUGAGAUACGGCCCAGACUCCUACGGGAGGCAGCAGUGGGGAAUAUUGCACAAUGGGCGGAAGCCUAAUGCAGCAACGCCGCGUGCGGGAUGACGGCCUUCGGGUUGUAAACCGCUUUCGCCUGUGACGAAGCGUGAGUGACGGUAAUGGGUAAAGAAGCACCGGCUAACUACGUGCCAGCAGCCGCGGUGAUACGUAGGGUGCGAGCGUUGUCCGGAUUUAUUGGGCGUAAAGGGCUCGUAGGUGGUUGAUCGCGUCGGAAGUGUAAUCUUGGGGCUUAACCCUGAGCGUGCUUUCGAUACGGGUUGACUUGAGGAAGGUAGGGGAGAAUGGAAUUCCUGGUGGAGCGGUGGAAUGCGCAGAUAUCAGGAGGAACACCAGUGGCGAAGGCGGUUCUCUGGGCCUUUCCUGACGCUGAGGAGCGAAAGCGUGGGGAGCGAACGGGCUUAGAUACCCUGGUAGUCCACGCUGUAAACGGUGGGUACUAGGUGUGGGGUCCAUUCCACGGGUUCCGUGCCGUAGCUAACGCUUUAAGUACCCCGCCUGGGGAGUACGGCCGCAAGGCUAAAACUCAAAGGAAUUGACGGGGCCCCGCACAAGCGGCGGAGCAUGCGGAUUAAUUCGAUGCAACGCGUAGAACCUUACCUGGGUUUGACAUGGAUCGGGAGUGCUCAGAGAUGGGUGUGCCUCUUUUGGGGUCGGUUCACAGGUGGUGCAUGGCUGUCGUCAGCUCGUGUCGUGAGAUGUUGGGUUAAGUCCCGCAACGAGCGCAACCCUUGUUCACUGUUGCCAGCACGUUAUGGUGGGGACUCAGUGGAGACCGCCGGGGUCAACUCGGAGGAAGGUGGGGAUGACGUCAAGUCAUCAUGCCCCUUAUGUCCAGGGCUUCACGCAUGCUACAAUGGCUGGUACAGAGAGUGGCGAGCCUGUGAGGGUGAGCGAAUCUCGGAAAGCCGGUCUCAGUUCGGAUUGGGGUCUGCAACUCGACCUCAUGAAGUCGGAGUCGCUAGUAAUCGCAGAUCAGCAACGCUGCGGUGAAUACGUUCCCGGGGCU